rnacentral:lncRNA from 1 species
GGAUCGAUGAUGAGUCCCCCAUAAAAACAUUCCUUGGAAAAGCUGAACAAAAUGAGUGAGAACUCAUACCGUCGUUCUCAUCGGAACUGAGGUCCAGCACAUUGCCUCCACUUUGGCUUAUUGUGGUUCACGGCACACUCAUUUCCUCUGCACCUUCCUGGUGUCAUUGGCAUGGAAGGAAGGCCCUUGUCCAAGAAGGAUGGUCUUCGUCUUGUGUGAUCUUUGAGAUGCCAUGAGGCCCCUGGAUACAAAUGGUGUGGGCUCCUUUGGAGGCUUUUGGAUUUCUCCUGAAUGUGGCGUUGGUAUGGAAGGAAGGCCAGUGACCGCAAGGGAUGACUUUGAUCUUGGGAGAUUUUUGGAGAUGGCAAAGUGCUUCUAAACAUGUUUGGCAUGGUCUCCUUCAGGCUGGUGGAUACCUCAGGAUGGUGGCGUUGGCAUGGAAGGAAGGACUGUGUCUGUGAGGGAUGAUCAUCCUCUCAUGUGAUCCUUGGAGAUGCCAGGAAGCCCCUUGACACAUGUGGCAUGGGCUCCUUCAGAGGCUUUUGGAUCCGUCGUGAAUGUGGCAUGGGCAUGCAAAGAAAGACAGAGGCUGCAAGGGAUAAACUUCAUCUUGGGAGAUCCCUGGAGAUGGCAGGGAACCCAUGGACACAUGUGGCAUGGGCUCCUUUGGGUGCCGGUGGAUCCCUUCAUACGGUAAAGCCAGAGUUGGGUAUCAACCAGAUACACUGCAGGGGAUCAGAGGACAUGGCCUUUGUGUACUGCACAUCUGUCAGAUUUUCUCAAGCACACCCGUGUUUCCUCUUCACCUCCCACGUGGAAGUGAUGAAUUGGCCAGGACCAUGUUGGUGAGGGACAAUCAUCAUCUCAUGUUAACCUCAGAGAAGCCAGGAAGCUCCUGGACACACAUGGUGUAGGCUUCCUUGGAGGCUGUUGGAUCUCUCCUGAAUGUAGUGUUGGUGUAAAAGGCAAACCCGUGUCAUGAGGGAUGGUCAUCAUCUUGUGUGAUCCUUGGAGAUGGCAGGAAGCCCUGGACAUACAUGGUGUGGGGGCUCCUCCAGAGGCUGUUGGGAUCCUCCUGGAUGUGGUGUGGGCAUGGAAGGAAGGCCAGUGGAGACAAUGGAUGAUCUUGUUCUUAGCAGAUCACUGGAUGUGGCAGGGAGUCCUAGGACAUGUGUGGUGUGGGCUUCUUCAGGUGCUGGUGGUGUUGGCAUGAGGAAAGGAGGUAUCUUCGAGGGACAAUCUUCUUCUUGUGCGAUCCUUGGAGAUGCCAUGAGGCCCCUGGACACAUGUGGUGUGGGCUCCUUUGGAGGCUGUUGUAUCCCUUCUGAAUGUGGCGUGGGCAUAGAAGGAAGGCCAGUGGCCACGAGGGACAAUCUUGGUCUUGGGAGAUCCUGGAAAUGAUAGGGAGUCCCUUGAUAUGUGUGGCAUGGGCUCCUUCAGGUGCUAGUGGAUUCCUUAGGAUGGUGGUGUUGGCAUGAAAGGCAGGCUUGUAUCAUGAGGAAUGAUUGUCAUCUUGUCUGAUUCUUGGAGAUGGCAGGAAGCCCCUGGAAACACAUGGUGUGGACUCUUUCACAGGCUGUUGAAACCCUCCUGAAUGUGAGGCCAGAGACAGGCAGACAGCAGAUGUAUUGCAGGGAGCUGGAUGACAUGGCCCUUGGAACCUGUGCACAUGCCUGCCUUUCUGAUGCACGUCCAUGUUUUCUCUGCACCUCCCCGGUGGUGUUGGUAUAAAAAGCAGGCUUACAUCAGCAAGGGAUGAUUGUCGUCUCAUGCGAUCCUGGGAGAUGGCAGAAGUCCCGGGACACAUGGAGUGUGGGCUCUUUCGGAGGCUGUUGGAUCCCUCCUGAAUGUGUUGUGGCCAUGGAAGUAAGGCCAGUGGCUACGAGGGACAGUCUUCAUCUUGGGAGAUCCCUAGAGAGGGCAGGGAGCCCCUUGACAUGUGGAAUGUGAUCUCUGUUGGGUGCUGGUGGAUCCCACAGGUGGUCUGGCAUGGAAGAAGGCCAGAGGCUGCGAUGGAUCAUCUUUGUCUUGGGAGAUUCCUGGAGAUGGUGGGGAGCCCCUGGGCACGUGCAGCAUAUGUGGCGUGGGCUUCUUCAGGUGCUGGUGGAUCCCUCAGGAUGCUUUUCAAGGUUUUUCUAUGAGUUCUGUUAAAGAGUCUGAAAAUGGAGCGUAGAAGACAUGCUUCGAUUUCCAGGAUGGUUGUGUUUUCCAGAGAGGCGGAGUUCAUUGUGGAACCAGCACAGAUUUUCAUACGAAAGUUAUUUCUUUUUAACCUCAAAAAGUGACAGAAUGGAGUGUAUCAUGAAAAAGUCUGACAUCAAAACCUCAAAAUGUGAUAUUGAUUGGGUGAGAUAGAAUUCCAUGGAAUUUCAUUGCCAAACCAGUGAAGUGCUAAUUUUGACAUUUGUACCAGCUAACGUAGCUGUGAAGAAACACACCAAUACACUUCUAAGGACAGCAUAGACCAAGAUCUAGGUUUCAUAUGGAUGAAUUUAUUCUUCCCUUUGAGGCAAGACAAGAAGGAAAGAAAGUAUUGGGAAUAAUGCUGCCCUCCCAUCCUCAAGGGCCAGUGGGAACUCUAAUAUUGAUUGGGUGAGAUACAAUUCCAUGGAAUUUUACCACUGAACCAGUGGAGGGCUAAUUUUGUCAUUUGUACCAGUUAACUAACUUGGGAGGAAACAGAACAACACACUCCUGAGAUUGGUUUUCACAGAAUUCCAUGGACUUUAACUGCUGAACCAAUGAUGCACUGAUUUUGUCACUUGUACCAGCUAACGCAUCUGGGAGGCAACAAAACAAUACUCUCCUGAGGUUAAUGUGGACCAAAAACUAGAUUUCAUAUAAAAGAGUUUAUUCCUUCUACUUGAGGUGUGACAUGAAGGAAAGUAAUGGAAAUAAUUCUGCCCUCCCAUUCUCAAGGGCCAGGGGGAAUUCAAAUAUUGAACGGAAGUGAUUUUGGAAUUGCAUGGAAUUCUCACUGCCAUCCCAAAGAAAUGCUGAUCUUGUCACUCUUACCUGUUUCAUUCCCUGGGGGCAGAACAAAAGGACGCACUCCAAAGAUCGGCAUGAACCAAGAACUGGGUUUCAUAUAAAAUAUUUUAUUCUGUCCUCUUGAGAUGUGACAUGAGAAAAGUAUUGAGAAUACUUCUAUCACCUCAUCUUCAAGAAUCCGUAGGAAUUCUCCCAUGGUGGACUUUACGGUUAACCUGAACAGGUCUUGGAAAAAGGACUUUAAACAUUCUCCUGUUCUGUGGAAUAAGUAUACUUUUUUCUGGACAUACACCUUGUCAGUGAGUUCCAUGUGAUACUAGAGUUGCAUAGAUUUUUAACCUUUACGCCAAUGAAGAUCUGAGGCAAACAUUGCCCCUUUUUUAGAAGUUUGCAUUUGUCACUGAUAACUGUAAUAAUUGAUCUUGUUGAAAAGCCUGGGAAAUGAAGAUCUGAUAUGUCACUUUUACCGGCUUCCUCAACUGAAAAAGAAUACAAUGAAACACGCUGAGAAUUUUUGUGCUUUCUCAGUCUUGCUGAUGAUCUUUCUAUGGGCCUGAAGCGUGGAGAGUGCCAGAGAGGCUGAUCCUCAGCAGUGUGGCAGAGGAAAGUUGGGUGCGACUAAGGGGUAUGCGGUGCCCACAUGCCACUGGGUCCUCAGCAGUACCACCUGGUGAGCGUCACUCUUGAGAGCUGAGAGUAGGUGGGAAGCAGCUCAUGGUGAGAGGGUUCAGAGGCCGCCUUUCCCUCUCUGCGCACUGCCCAGUUCUUCUAGUCACAUGUCCCGGGACAGUACCAUACCUGUGUGUGUCCUGCCUGCAUUGCUGUGACCACUUUUAGUGGAAUCAGGUGCAGUGCAGCUCUGCAGCUUCUGCAAAUUGCCACGCUCCCACUCUCAAGCAGGUUGAGUGCUACGAGUGAUUUUUAGACCAUUUGUUUAUUCCCUUAUCAUGGCUUUUUGUGACUUCUUCCUCCCCAGUCCGUUGGGUCACCUUUAAAGGUAAAGUAAUCCUGAGGUGGUUGAAUUUACGGAAAUGCUAUGCAUUAUUGUGAAUGGGAUGUUCACCGGGCCAACAUCUUCUUGGAACUUUGAGCAAACUGAUAGUCUGGUUGCACAUUUGAUUUGUCUGGCAGUAAAUGUUGGACAGUAUUUGGACUGAUGGAAGCUAGAGACAAACACAUUGACUAUUGUUGAAUAACACUGGAAACAUCUUAGGAGAGCAGUACAUUAGCUAAUUUAAUAGGUACAUAAACUGAAUCCCACUGUCUUGUGCUUGACGGACCAGCAGACACAUAUGCUUGUAUCGUUCUCAUGUUUCUACAUGUUUACCCUAUUCCCACAGGUCAACAAAGACAAGGCACCUAGCCCCACAUGAAACUUUAUUCCUUUCCCUUUUGAGAUGUGACAUGAAAGAAAAUAACAGAAAUGAUUUUUCCAUCCCAUCCUCAGGGACCAGUGGGAAUGAAUUUUACCAUCCCACCCUCAAGGGCCAGGUCAGGUCGCUAAGCAUUUUGUCACUAAAAUAUUGCCCUUUUUUAGGGAUUAUGUAAUACUCUAUAAGGCACUGUCUGUGCUGGGCAGCAUGGAGCCUGGGUCAUUGCUGUGUUGGGGGCUUGGUCUCCAUGACUUAAUAGGGUGUAUCAGUGUGUCCCAGAGAAGUGUACUCCAGAGUGCUCAUUUUCUUUCAUGUUUCUGAAGCAAACAGUGCCCCCUUUUUUAGAAGUUUGCAUGUGUCACUGAUAACUUUAAUAAUUGAUCUUGUUGAAAAACCUGGGAAAACAGUGAGUUAAAUAAUAACUUCUCUGAACAUGAGGUCCAGCCCAAUUACCUGCCCUAAGCAAACUAUAUGGAAGGAGAGUUCAGUUUGUUCAGCUAUGUGGUCCCAGCAAGGACUGUGGUACUGGAAAACUAACCAGCUUACAUGCACUAGAGAAGUAGAAUUGGACAGUGAUCUGUAGGUACCCAGUUUGGAGAUGAAAUUGCAACUCUGAGUUCUUGAUUGGCAACAUAAAUACGUUGAUAGUAAACAGACCCUGGGGAAUCAGCACUUGAGUUGUGAAAAGCGGGAAAUAGCUAUGCCUACACUAGAGCCAUUCACACUUUUGCUGGAGCUGCAAUAAUCUUCUAAGUCAUGCUUGCUCUCGUGAGGGCAAUGAGAUGGUCACAAUCCAAGGAGAGUUGGGGUUUUCACUUUUCAUUUCUCUAUUAAGUGAAAAAAGUAUAUGAAAAUUGAAAAAUAGAUAUUACUUAUGUAAUCUUCACAGUAUAAUUUGCUUGCCAAGCAGUCACUGGGAUUUAAUCAGUUUCUUUGUCUUUCGUUUUUCUCAUAAGCUGAGAGAGUAAUUUUGUGUGCACAGAAGUACUGUCUUCAGCUACAUGCU